rnacentral:rRNA from 1 species
UACGGGGGGGGUAAGCGUUGUUCGGAAUUACUGGGCGUAAAGGGCUCGUAGGCGGCCAACUAAGUCAUACGUGAAAUCCCUCAGCUUAACUGGGGAACUGCGUGUGAUACUGGAUGGCUUGGAUUUGGGAGAGGGAUGCGGAAUUCCAGGUGUAGCGGUGAAAUGCGUAGAUAUCUGGAGGAACACCGGUGGCGAAGGCGGCGUUCUGGACUGCAACUGACACUGAUAAACGAAAGCCAGGGUAGCAAACGGG